UAUAUAUAUCUCUGUAUAUAGUUUAUUUCUCACAAUCCUGGUAAAGAGUUACAGGUGUACUGGGAAUCAUUUACAGUUUCACAGCAUAUGGAGUGGCCAUACAGCUUCUGAUGUGAGUAACAUACAGUGUGUAGAGAGCACACGUUUCCAAACCCAUCCACCCACCACUCAUACAAUGGGUUUUCAAAGCUAAUACUAGAUUCAGCUACAUAGAAAGCCUGGAAUAUGGUUGGGUACAGCGUUGGGUGUUGUACAACACUGUCAGUCACAAUGGGACAAGCUAAACUACUUUAAUUUUCAAUCUAGUAUUUCUAGUCUACCUGCAUUAUUGCAUUUAUACGCUUGUUUUUUGUUCAAAGUCAAAGUAAAUAGAAUACUAUAUGGGAAAGGAAAAUUCUUGACUAUUUUAGGAUUUGAGCUGCAGCCCAUACAAAGUGUCCAUAGAAGCAUAGACAAGGUUAUAAAUUCAACAAGGUAUAAAUUCGCUGGGUAGCUUUGUGUGUAGGUAGGUGUCCAUUUCCCUCCAGGAAAUGUGUCUUAGCAGCAUAUUGUUUCUGAAAGCAAAAACCAAACCAAACCUGUAUGUUGAACACAGGUAAAGAAGUGUAAGUGACAAGUAAGUGUGUUUGUACAGGGAAGAAAUCAAGGUGUUGCUCUGAAAAUCACUAUCCUUUAGAAAACACAUGCAGGGGCUGACUCAAAACCCACUGAUGCCAUUGGGAAGAUGCCUCUGAGGUAACAGCAGGCACUUCCCUGCUACCGGCAUGAGUUUUCUGAGGGCUUUGGAUCAGUCCCUGGAAAAGCAACAGAAUCCAAGCAAACCAUAAGGAAAAGAAUCAAAAUCCCCUGUAAUCUGACCUUCACGUUCCCUUCCUACUAUUUUAGUUGCUCCACCAAUUUGUUAUCAACCUGCACCUACCACUAGAAGAGAGUUGGUUUUCACUGGGGAAUAGAGAUUGCAACUCUUAGAUAUCAAUGGAAAUGGUCCUAAGCAAUGACUUCGUAAAGGCACCAGGCUUUAGAAGGGCUGCUCAAAACUUAAGAAAGCCAAAUUAUUCACUUGUUGGUUGGUUUUAAACAUGACAAAAUCGUAUGGGCACCCUUGUCCUUAUCAAAUCACCCCAGAAACUUGAGUGCUUGAAGCUGCCGUAGCAAAACCAGGGAUACAAUGCAGGUCUGUACAGUUGCAGAGAUGAUUAAAGGUUUCCUGGUGGGAGGUUUGGUAUUGAAGCAUCAUCGUGCACAGACAGAAAGAACCCAUUGCUUUAUUCUUGCUCUGCUGCACCAGGGCUCUGCAUUCUGAGAAAUGAAAGAAUAGUGGAGUCAUCUGUGAAUUUCAAGCUGGGAUUAACUGAAAGAGAAACAGGAGCAAGAGUAACACGUUGUCCAAAUCCUAUUUUCCCUGCCCAUGGCAGGGGGGUUGGAACUAGAUGAUCUUAAGGUCCUUUCCAACUCUAACUAUUCUAUGAUUCUAUUUAACCCACGUUAUGUUUUUCAGCAAAGAAACCCAAAACAACUGUUUGAUUUGAAGAGCAGAGUGGAGAGCACAAGUCCCCAGGUACUGCAUGCCAGAGCACCCAGGCAGAGCACAUGCUGUCCAGAGCAGCAAUCAGAACUGUAGCAAAUUGUAGAACCAAACUCAUGUAUUUGGAAAGCCAGCAACUAUAAUCUUUCAAGCUUAUGAUACCAGCUUAUCAGCAUGGUUAGUUGAACAAAGUGUGAAUUUUCAAGGCCCAGAACUCCUGCAUUACUUCAUCAAGUGGUAACACCCGAGCAGCCCAUUCACACCAAAAGAUCCUUGCAGUCUUCUGCAUCCUCAAUCCUUGCAGUCUUCUGCAUCUUCAAUCCUUGCAGUCUUCUGCAUCCUCAAUCCUUGCAGUCUUCUGCAUCUUCAAUCCUUGCAGUCUUCUGCAUCCUCAAUCCUUGCAGUCUUCUGCAUCUUCAAUCCUUGCAGUCUUCUGCAUCUUCAAUCCUUGCAGUCUUCUGCAUCCUCCAUCCUUGCAGUCUUCCACAUCCUCAAUCCUGCAGCAGGCCCUGGCACAGGACCUGCUUCUUCAAGGCCAGCAGAAAUGCAGGUGGUGGACAUCAGCUGAGAACCAGCUCUUGAGCACUUGAGAAUCUCUCUCCUCUGUGUUUCUGGUGCUCCAGUAACUGGAGGACUGAAGCAGCACUGGCUUUAGCCAAGUGUAAUGUGUGCUCACGCUGUGUCAGCAUCUCUUGAGCAGCCAGAACACCUCCUGCCUGAGUGGCAGCAGCUUCAAUUCUGAGCAGAGCUUGUGGCCAUGCAGUGACUGACAUGAAAAAGCAAAGAUAAGAAAAGGACCUUCCAGCUGUGGCUUCCUCAUCUGCUGAUCUCCAGUAGCAGAUAAGAGCGCUAAGAAUCUUGCAGACUCAGACCCUCAAGCCUUAGCAAUUAGGGCAGAUGAAAGCUUCACACAUUCUGCAUUGCUCUUGCAGUACUCUCUGACUGAACGUUGCCUCUGUCUUUCGUGUGGGGCCACCCAACAUCUGCCUCAGCCUUGGGGCAGCGUUUGUGCCUAGCUGUGGAGAGGCCACAUCUGCAGAGUUGCCUGGGAUGAAAGUAGGGAAAGAGAAUACGGUGCAGUAGCCAAAGAAGCAGUGAAGGAUAAGAAAUUAAUCAGAUCUCCAGAAACCAAUGGAGCCAGAUCUGACAUCUUCAGCCGAGGAAUUUGGGCAUUAAAAAGGAAAACAAGCCACAGGGCUGGACUUUCUCUUUCUUCAAAGAGAGAAAAAAGUCAUCUUAAAACCCCUUUGCUCAACAGAUUAAACUCUCCAGGGCCAGUCAAGGUAAAGUGAUCUGGGCUGACCACAGCAAGAUGCAAUAAAAGAGAUAGGAAAAUAGUGUUGGACAGACCCAGGCAAGUCCAGCUGAAUGGCACACAGGGCAUGUUCCAAGCCAAGGUCUCAGUUAAAUUGCAGUAACCUCAGUAGCUCCUUGUGUCAUCGUCUGGGCUGCUCAGUUCGAAUUGAUCUAGCUCAAGAUCAGCUUUCUGUAUAACUACCUUCUGUUCCAUGAACAUAAGUUAAAUACCCUCUCACUUUUACCAUGUAUUCACCACAACAGCUCAGAUAUCUUGUUCUGUGCCCUUUGACACUUAAAAGAUAACUUCCCAUUAAUGAUUAAAUACUACUUCAAAUAGAUAAACUUCAGGAGAGAACUAAUCACCAGCUGAAUCAGGGCAGGACAGUUUUUGAAGAGAACAACAGGCCAAAAACACUGCAGGAGAAAUAUUUAGGGACAAAUGAUGGGCUGAAAAGUCCAUAAAACAGAAAGAGAGAGCUGAAAAUGGCAGAAAUAGAGCUGAAAAGCCCAGAGCAGCAAUAUUUGAUCCAUAGUACUAAGCAGACACUGCUCUCAUCUCAUCGCCCUCUCCUGGCUUCUUUAACCUGCAAAGCAUAAAUCCUGAAGUACAUGGGCUGUAUGGAAGCCCAGGAAGUUGCUGCACAGGCUUCAUCACUCUUUGCAGUGGAGUUGUCAACGGAGUGUCACUCCUAAGACCUAAAACGUGCAGGAAGCCCAGGUCACAUCUUCAGCAUCAGUAGCUUUAUCCCUGAAAGAGUGAAGGACAUCUCUGGGUGUUAAUGACAGGAAACAUCCCACUUCCAGCCUCCUGCACUGAGAGUUCAACUUAGAUAUAGAGUUUUUAUUAUCCAGACCAAAGCCAAUUCUCUUCAUGAGGGGAGGUGCCCAACCUGUAAAGCAGAACUGCAGUCAGUUGGUGAAGAGAUUACAUGAUGUGGUUGUCUGCUCCUGUGCCUUGGGAGAUGUCUCCUGGCUUCAUGAUGAUGGGAAUGAGACAGCAGCAAGAUGCUACAUGGCCUGGGAAGGGAACCAGCAUCCCUGCUCUAACAUGAAGUCCCAGACUAAGAGGAUGGAAGUGCACAUAGGUUGGAUUUUCAGUCCUCUUAGUAUGUGAAAAACGGAACACAGCACUUCGAAAUGCCCAAGCCAUAAACUUGCAAUUUCCUUUAAUCAUACAAAAUUGGUUGUAGAAAACUUCAGGUCUUUUUCUUGCUUCACAAACCCUUUAACAUCGAAUAGAGGCAGCAAAAAUUCCUUUGGAAAAGUCAGUUAGCAAAUGUUAACUUGCGUGGAAUCAGAAUUGGUCGUUUUUCCUUAUGUCCAAGAAAAAUAAAUAGAAGUGGAUGGGGUAUAAAAGUUAAUGCGUCCUUAUCAAAACUGUGAAGAUGGUGAAAUUGUUCUCUCUUCUCUGCAUAUCUCUCUACCUUUUCUUGUACCCUCUCAGAAGCACUGACUUGAAUCUCGGUGUAGAGCUGAUUGAAAUUCCAAGAAUUCCACCUCUCAAGUACAUUUUGUCAUUGCCUUCCUUCUUUGGUUUGUUUCUUGAAGGAUAAGUUUCCUCUCACAUCUUCAGGACUGUUCAUUCCAGCCAAUUCCAAGAAUAGAUAGAAGGAUGCUGACUUCUAAACCCCAGUGGCAGUUCCAGGAAAGGAAGGGAAGUUUUUAAGGCAGAAAUCAUCUCUCACCAGCUCCUGGGGUUUUAGUUACGCUGUUGUUGUCUAUACACAAACAUUAAUGUAGGUGUAAGCAUGGUUGUGAGGUAAGACCAAAGACUUUCCUUACAUUCAGCAGCAGGACUAAGGAACGUUUUUGUCAGUUCAAAAAGAAACCAUGCCAUUGGGAUGAGUUUCCAUUUUACAGUGACCUGCAAUUGUAUCCCUGGUGCCCUCAAAGGCCUGAGCAGAAUAUGGUGAAGCCAAUGGAAAACUUGUUUUCAGUAGCCCACGGAUCAACUCCUAAACUCUGAUUCAGCAGAGACAUAAAACCAUUUUUAACUUAUCACUCAAUCUAAGGGAACAAAGCAGUGCUUCAGGGCAAGUGCCUGCCCAGUGCUUUAAGCAUGAGGUGAACAGCACCUGCAGGAAAGCAUUCUUACCCUGCUGAAAACACUGCUGCAUUAUCCUUCAGCUUCCAGAUUUGCUUGCAUCCUGCUGCAGAACUUAAUAGGAAUAACAGGACUUAUCCAUAGUAGAAAGAGGAAGCAGAAGUGUGAUCCAUUUCAUCUUAAAGCUAGAAGCAUCAAAAAACCUUCUACUAAGUUGCCCAAGAGAACAUAAUGACAUCUUUAUAGUUGACUAAAACUUACGGCUCUUUAAAAACAGAUUGAGAUCAGGUGUAGUAAUUGAAUCUCUAGUUUUAGUGAUAAGCUACAAUGUCUUCAAAUUCAUAAUUUAUAGACUUAAUCAAAGGAGUAAACUAGCAAUCUAGAUCUCUUCAAACCCCAAACACAGAAUCUGGUUAGAGUUAAGCAUUAAUUCAUUCUCCACACGGAGAUAUCACUAGAAGGACUUCAUAUCACAAACACCACACAAAGAAGAACAUCAAGCAAAUAACGGCGUGUGCUCAGUACGAGAAAAGACAACUAUUUAUUUAGCACAGCGAGUUCAAUCAUUUAAGCCUCUGCUUCCACAGGUUUGGUUUCAGCUUCGGUUCUGAGAGGGGUGAAUUUGCUCUUCUCAGCCUACUUCUCACUGGAUGUGUUUUAUCUCAGAGUGAAACCACUGCACAGGCUGGCACAUUAAGGCAGAACAGGAGGUGUUUGCUAAGAGGGUGUCGUUUGCAAGUCAGGACUGAAGUGCAUUGCCCCAGCUGCGUGCUUAGGGGCUUGUAUGGCAUCUACACUUGAUCUACCUGACUCAAAUCAACACUAGACCCACACUUCAAAAAGCACUACAACACAGUCCAGUAUAAUUCAGUAUAGUCUAAAAGUGCCUUGUUUUAAAGCAACUAGCCCACACGACUAUUCAGGGAGGGGGAACAGGAAUUUUGAGCUUCUAGCACAAUGGGCACAUCAUACAUUCAGCAGUUCACUAGCCAUACAUUCUUUGCACUGAGAAGAAACCAGGACUGAAAAGGAAUCCGGGUGCUGCAUGGCAUGGUGUGAAUGGCACAACAAAAGACAUCACAGACACUUGGUGUGAAUGCAGGGGAACAAACGAAGGGGCAUCUCCAAGUUAGCUGUUCCCCCCCUCUCCCAGACUGCAGUAAUAUACACAUAUAUGUAUGUAUACAUACAGACACAGAAUAUGCUUCAAGGCAGGGUGGUGUAUACACACGCACACACACACACACGGAGGUAAGUUCCAAACCAAACUGCCAAAGAGGUGGGUCCCAGGUAGCAAAUCUGGACAGCAGACAGCAAUGUUAAGCCAUCACAGUAAGUGGAAAACCCCUUAUGAACAGGACAUACCCUGUUCAGUGCUUAAGGAGGGCUCACAUGUGGUUACAUACCCCAGUGAUGAGCUGCAGCCCCAUCACCAUCUCUCUGGUGUGUUUCUGGAUGAAAUUCUUGGCCUUGCAUCUGAGGGCUUUAAAAGCAGGGGCAGUAGGUUGGAGGCAGACAGAAACGGCUUAAGGCCCAUGGUGGCUGAGAACUGGGUUUCCCCCCUUCUGUUGCCAAAGGUUAAGUCAAGGAAAUAAAGAAACCUUUAAGUUCAGUAAAAUAGGAGACUUUAGAAAGUAAACCAGUUGUUUCUUUUUCCUUCCCCUGUAUCUAUCUAUGCUGGCCAGGGCAGAAUAGAUAGAUGAAUCUAUCUGUAAUGUUGUCACACACUGCUAAGGAAAUAAUCAUAUGCUGGGGCUGAGAGGGAGGGAACAGACAGGGCAGGUAGAAACACCUCUUGGAGUCAGGCCUCC
ensembl:lncRNA